rnacentral:rRNA from 1 species
AAAUUGAAGAGUUUGAUCAUGGCUCAGAUUGAACGCUGGCGGCAGGCCUAACACAUGCAAGUCGAACGGUAACAGGAAACAGCUUGCUGUUUCGCUGACGAGUGGCGGACGGGUGAGUAAUGUCUGGGAAACUGCCUGAUGGAGGGGGAUAACUACUGGAAACGGUAGCUAAUACCGCAUAACGUCGCAAGACCAAAGAGGGGGACCCUCGGGCCUCUUGCCAUCGGAUGUGCCCAGAUGGGAUUAGCUUGUUGGUGGGGUAACGGCUCACCAAGGCGACGAUCCCUAGCUGGUCUGAGAGGAUGACCAGCCA